rnacentral:lncRNA from 1 species
AUCUCACGCCAUCCUUAGCUUGUAGUACUUAGAAUUCAUCCAGGAGUCAACUUCCUUCCCCAACUUCAACUUGAGAACAAAAGAAUUAUGCCACGCCACUGCAGCUAAUCCCACAUCGGCAAUUUCUCUUUUAAGUCGUCUCUUUCAUGCCUAUAUAAACCGAUGCGCUCGUAUUUGUAAGCAUCAAUUCACAGUAUUUACAAGUCACUUGAGUCUAUUUUUGUGGUCUCAGAAGCGUUACCGCGAAAGUAAUUUCUUUUUCUUUUUUUGUGAUUUUUUUGUUAUUUUUUUCUUUUAUAUAAGUCAAGCGAGAAAGAUAUGUUCUUUUUCAACAAUAUGAUCCACACAUGAAGAAGACAAUCUUGGGGUGUGAGAGGAUGAGUACUUAUCCUUGUCCAAUUAUUGGAGAGAUUACUCCUAAAAUGACCUGAUUCUUGGAGAGAUUACUCUCAAAAUGGCCCGAUUCUUGGAGUGAUUACUCUCAAAAUGGCCCGAUUCUUGGAGAGAUUACUCUCAAAACGGCUCGAUUCUUGGAGUGAUUACUCUCAAAAUGGCCCGAUUCUUGGAGAGAUUACUCUCAAAAUAAUCCAAUUCUUGGAGAAAUUACUCUCAAAAUGGCUCAAUUCUUAGAGAGAUUACUCUCAAAAUGGCGCGACUACCGGAGAUACCAACUUAAGAUGCGAAGGGACUCAUAUGUCCACCUUAAGAUUGGAAAGUUAUAGUUCCUUUUAAGGACAAACCCACGAAUAGGCCAACUUAAGGUAAAGAGACUUAUAUGUCCACCCUAAGAUUGUAAAGUUAUAAAGCUUUAACUCGAAGAUGACAUCAACUUGAACACUUGGAACUCUUUGAAGAUUUGGCGGACUUUGCAGACUUCAACUCACAUAUUUGGAGGGCUUAAACAAUUCCACUUUAAGACCAACGAAUUUGAUGACUGAAACUUGAAGACCGAUGAACUUGAAGACUUCAACUUUGAGACUUGGAGGGUCUAAGUAUUUCAACUUGAAGAUCACCGAAUUUGAAGACUUCAACUUGAAGACCGACGGACUUGAAGACUUCAACUUUGAGACUUGGAGGGCCUAAAUAUUUCAACUUGAAGGUAAGCGUAUUUGAAGACUUCAACUUGAAGACCGACAGGAUUGAAGAUUUAACUUGGGGACUUCAUCUUGAAUUUAAAUAUUUCAACUGAAGAUCAACGGAUUUGAAGACUUCAACCUGAAGACCGACGGGGUUGAAGAUUUCAACUUGGGGACUUCAACUUUGAGAUUUCGAGGGCUUAAGUGUUUCAGCCUCUCUUUUGCUUUACGUUGUUCGACUUUUAUCUUAGUCGCAUAAUUUUCAGCUUUACGUGCUUGUAACAAAUGAUUCAUAUCUUGUAGUGGGAGAGUCCAAAUAAUGAACCAUUUGAUUUUUCGAAAAUCAAACUUCGAUAUAUAAAAUAUAUCCAAAAUUCAGAAUCAAACACCUUCAGAAUCGUCCCAAAUAAUAUUUUGAAACCAACUUUAUAUUGUACCUCGCUAUCAAUUCCAUAUUUGCGCAGUCUCACUAGAAAAUCAUAUCUUGGUGUAGUAAUGUUGAAAUUACGAACCUUUUGAUUUUUUGAAUACUAGACUUCAAUAUCUACGACAUAUCCAAUAUUCUCUAUCAAAUAACUUCAGAAUCGUCCUAGAUAAUAAUUUGAAAUCAACUUUAGGUUCUACCACGUUGAAAAUUUCAGAUUUGCGCAAGUUCGCCAAAAGUUUUGUAUCUUGAAGUAGGAACGUUAAAAUCAUGAACCGCUUGAUCUACUGAAAACUUAACUUCCAGAUAUAUAACAUAUCCAAAAUUCGAGAUUUAAUGCCUUACGGAUACAUUCAGAUAAUAUUUCGAAGUCAAUAAUAAAUUCUAAUACACCGACAAUUUUAGAUUUGCGCGACUUCACCAAAUAUUUUGUACCUUGAUGUGGAAGCCUCGAGAUCGAAAGACGUGUUACUUGUCAUAAAUCAAAAUUUAAGAGUCAUAUUCUCACAAAUAUCUUAAAGUUCAAAUCUAACUAAAUUUGAAAUGUUGUGCCAAACAAUCUUUUCCGUAUACUUGUAUUUCCUUUUGAUGUCGUUUCUCUUCCCUCCUUUUUUUAGGCAGAGAUACAACAAAAGACAUUGACAAUCAUCUUUUGGACGUGUUUGCUCUAUAAAACGUUGUAUUUUUCUCAUCUCAUUGACUAACAACUAUAAGCGUCAGUCAACUCUUGAUAUCUCAAACAUUUCUGCUAAAAGUGGAUGGAUAAGAGCUAUCGGUAUGCGCGAGACUUUGAGUUCCAGUUGCAAUUGUGAGGUGCAGUUGACGAAAUGUUCGGAUAUAUACCAUAACCAUGAAUUUAGUUUAAAUAUAAUUUUUAGUAUAAUAAUAUUGUUCAAAGUUUUAAUAAAUAGAUUAUAGAUUAGUCAGUAUUAUUUGCUUAUAUAAUAGAUAAUUUUGUGUAUAGAGUUUAGCUUAUACAUGAAAGAUUAAAUCAUCGAUUCUUAUAAAUAUAAAGUUUGAGUUCACAAUCUAAUGAUGAAAUGGACAAACCAUUAGGAAUGAUUGUAGCACAAGAUUAAAUAUAAUUUAUCUUAAUUAUGAGAAUGGUUUAAUUCCNNNNNNNNNNNNNNNNNNNNNNNNNNNNNNNNNNNNNNNNCUAAAGUGGUUUGUUUAUUUGAACUCAUCUAGUACAUUUUAUAUGUAUUGAACGGACCAGUAGAGAUGACUAUUUUAUACUGACUUAAUAAAAUAAACUCUCUAGCCAUUAAAUAUACUUAUACUCUUAAUCUUGAUAUAAUUAUUAUUAGCUGUGUAUACUAUUGUUAUUUUUAUUUUUUAAAAGGUGAGAUUCUUUCGUGGGUCAAUAUGCCUCGUAAAUUGGAUAAUAAUAAUGUAUCUUGGCAAAGUAGUAGUUAGUUGAUGGAAUCAAUGCCUCAGUUCAGAGAUUGAUGAUACGCCUUUAUGAAAGCUUAUCGGUGAAUUUUGUAUCCGACACAUGAAAUAAGCUAAGCGAAAGUCUAAAAGAAAUAAUUAAUAAAUUAAAUCGUCAGUAAUUUAAUAUAACUGAUUAGUAUCUGAAUCUUAACAUGGAGAGUUAAAUAAGAUUUAAUGGAUGAAUUUCAAAAUUGAAUAAGGAGUGCAAUUACAAAUUUUUAGUGGAAUACUUUAUAAUUAAUUAUGGUGGAUAUUAAUUUCAAAAAUUAGAAAUUAAUUCCAUUAUUGGAGCCUUGUUAAUUAAAUUUUAUGGUCCCAGAUGUGCCUAGAUAAUUGGAAAUAAAGGAAUUCUUUUUUUGGUGGAAAGAAAAAUCUAACAGGUUUUGAAAAAGGGUUUUAACCCUUAAAACUUGUGCUAUAAAUACAUAAGGUUUUCCACCUAGAUGGUGAAAUACAUGGUGGCUGAAUUUUUCAGCCAUAUUUUUCUAGAAAUUUCGCCCACACAAAAUUACUAUUUUCGGGUAUUAUUCAGGUAACAACAGUAGAAGAUCGUGGAAUGUUCGGAGAACGUGAUUGUGCGGGUGGUGGAGAAUUCAUUGAGUUGCUAUGUAAUUGGAGUCUCACCUGAUAACGGAGUUUUGUUCACACUUCAAGAGGUAACCCGUGAAAUCUCGUUUAUGCUAAUUGUCUAGAUUACAUGUGAUUUUGAUACUAGAAUUGUUUCCACUGCAUAUAAUUAUCCAUAGAUUGGUAUCAGAGUCUACUCACAUCUGCUUAGAUAACUAAUUUUUUUUUAUGAAACAAGAAUAUCAUGUUUAUGUGCUUUUUUGAAUUACAUGUAUAUGUUGUUUUCUGAAAUACUGCACUACUAUUUUGUGAAUUAACUAUGAAAAAUUUUAGAUUAUUCUUGUAAUCAUGAGAUAUAUGCUUUCUUAUUGAUAUUUGAUUGAGAUGAUCUGGAUUUUUUGGGUAACCCAAAAAAAAUGCAAAAUCUAAUUUUGACCGAAUUGUCGGUAUUUUCGAAGGUUGGAGAACUUGACGAACUUUGAUUAAGCUGAAAUUUGGUGGAUCCAUGGGAAACGACAUGGUGAGAAAAACUCACUGAACUCACUGCUUCUAGCAGUGAGUUAUGGUAUUUUUUGGCCUUUUGAGGCUGUUUGGACUGUGUUUUGGACGUUUUUUAUUUUCUGAAAAUUAUCUUUUAAUAAUUUUGAAUUGUUUUUAGUUCAAUGAUGGUGGAAGUGAAUUCCAUGGUCUCCAUGAUUAAAUACUGGUGAUACAAUAUGUUUAUACAUUGGCUAUUAGUAAAUAGGUGUGUUGAUGUAUUAAAUUCAAUAAUAGAGGUGUAUGAUUUUAUUGACUAGGUCUUACAAAGUAUAAUUGAUAUUGUGUCAUGAUAUAACUAUUUUGUAAGAAAGUUAAAUCCUCUGUUUGAUAUGCUGGAUGACUGAUAAUUGGAGCAUUUGACGUAUUUUUGCAUAAGAAUGUUUCCAAAUUUUAAUUUAUGUUUUCAUGCCCUACGUGAUUACUAGUCAUGGAUUUUCGAUUGAAAAGUUUUAUUCUCUGGUUGGAGGUUGUAAUUAAGUGAAAUUUGACGAUAUUUUGUAUGAGUUUUAUAGUAUUAGCAUGGAUUUUAAGCUGUAGUCUAUAAUCUGCCAUAAAAUAAUUUUAUGAGCUACAUGUAUCUUCACUUGUAAAUUGAGAAUUUGUGAGUAAUAAAUAGCUACCACUAAAGUGGUUUGUUUAUUUGAACUCAUGAAAACUUCUUAAUAAAUUUGUACAUGUGACAUUGUGUCUAUUCAUGGAUUGAGCAUUAUGAUUAAUAAGUAGGAUCCACAAAAUGGUCUAUUUAUUUGUGUCAUGAAAAUCUGCUUAAUGUACCAUAUGAAAAUUAUCCUUGAUAAAUUUAUAUUAGUGGUGGAGGUUCCUAACUAGGAAAAGAGUUUUAUCUUUGGGUACUAGUGAGACCAACUCCACUCAUGAGAAGAGAUAUUGCGUUUUUGCCGAAAGGGAGAAAAUAUAAUAUCUUAGGUUCUUGUGCAUUUAAUAAAAGGAUAAUUUAUUCCAAAAGGAAAUAUUGUAUAUCCAAGAAAUAGGAAGAACAUAAUAUAUGCCUUGAGCUCAUAGUAUAAUUAUAAGGAAAAUGAAAAUUAAUAUCAUAUUUUUUCAAUUCAUGAAACUGCUUAAAAUUGUUAUUCUCUGAGUUUGGUUACAGGUUAGAAGUCAUGAAUUUGAUGAACUACGAUUGACCUGAAACUUGA